CGAACGGGUGAGUAAUGCAUCGGAACGUGCCCAGUCGUGGGGGAUAACGCAGCGAAAGCUGUGCUAAUACCGCAUACGAUCUAUGGAUGAAAGCGGGGGACCUUCGGGCCUCGCGCGAUUGGAGCGGCCGAUGUUAGAUUAGCUAGUUGGUGGGGUAAAGGCCCACCAAGGCGACGAUCCGUAGCUGGUUUGAGAGGACGACCAGCCACACUGGGACUGAGACACGGCCCAGACUCC
rnacentral:rRNA from 1 species